UCAUAUUUUGGAAAGUUGACCAGUUAAAAUUUUAACAUAGUUAUAACUUGUGAGAAAUCUAAGUAUAAGGAAGUAUAGCAUCCCAAAUGUAGUAAAGUUUGACCGUAUAGCGAUUUCCUACAUUGCCAUUACGAGUUGGGGGACUUGGGAAUAAUCUGGGAUGGUAAAGUAGAAAGAAAUAAUAUAAUCAGAUAACUAAACAGCCCAUUAAGAGGCCUAAUAUGUAUUGUUAUCAUGCGUUCUAUAUGGUAGGGCUAGGCCCAAUUACACCAACCGCGCGUACGAUACACUCGCGAACUCUGCGAAAUUCCUUAGUUGCAAGUUCCAAACAUAUCAAGUUCUUCUUCUUCUUCCUUCCUUCGUGUUCCGCCCGAGAAGAUCGAAGUAACUGGGAAAAAUAAUCGAAAGAGAUCUGUCCGGUGGGAACAAUAAUGGCUCUGACAUGCGUGAAUAUGUCGGAAGAUGUGUGGUUAACUUGCCUGACUCACGCAUUGUCCACCGAGACCGAAGAGAUCAUGGGGCUCCUCCUCGGCGACAUCCAGUACUCGAAGAACGGAAGCGCGACGGCUAUGAUAUGGGGAGCAUCGCCGCAGUCAAGGUCUGAUAGGCAGAAGGAUCGUGUAGAAACCAACCCUGAACAGCUGGCUGCUGCUUCUGCUCAGGCUGAGAGAAUGAGCAUAUCAACGGGCAGAACAACGCGUGUGAUUGGAUGGUAUCACUCCCAUCCUCAUAUCACCGUCCUUCCUUCACAUGUCGAUGUUCGGACACAAGCAAUGUAUCAGCUUCUUGAUUCUGGUUUUAUUGGCCUCAUUUUCUCCUGUUUUAGUGAAGAUGCUAACAAGAUUGGUAGAAUCCAAGUUAUCGCUUUCCAGUCCUCUGAUGGGAACUCCAACACUCCUCCUAAAUCAAUGAGCCUGGUUCUUUCAAAUAAAGACUCUGUCAUCGAUCUAGAAUCCUCUUUAAGCUCUUCAGACUCAGUAUACCAGAGUUCCUCUUCUGCUAAGGGACACAAUGCUGACCAAGACACGACUGAUACAGCUUCAUCUUCCGGACCUAAGGGUGGGGGACGAGUUUCAGAUUUUGGGGCUUUCUUUGUUAAAAAUGCUGAGGCCAAAGCCACCGGGACGAGUGGAAACUACAGCUCAGCUGUGGAAAUUGAUUCAAUGGACAUGUCUGAAAGCAUGCAAGAAGCCAUGCUCCGUUCCAACUUGGAAACUAGUGGUGUGGGGUACGUUAAGAAAGAAGUCCCGCUUCAUGUUUUACCGACUUCAUCACUUCUUCAGCUCAAUUCACCUUUAGCCUCUUUUAAAGAUCUACAACGAGUGCUCUACGAGGAGGAACGAGCAGCGUACCACCAAUCAGUCCUGCAAAGCAUGAGAAAUGGGAAAGUUCAUCCCCUUGCUUUCAUUCACAACACGUCAACAUAUCAGGCUUCCAUGUGCAAGCUGAUCGAGUACUGCUUGAGUCCUGCGGUUAACGCACUUCAAGAUAGGCUGAGGGAAAACAAGAUCCGGUUAGCAAUGCUGAUGAGUGAAGCUGAAGGUCUGGAAGCACAGAAACUUAAAGGACCAGAGACGAGUGGAGGGACAUCUCGUUUGGUUCAUGGUUCUGGCAGCCGAAGCAGAAGAGGAUCCUAAGACUAAGAGGGAGGCAAUAUAAUAUCGAAUGCCUUUUUACUCUUUGUGUAUUGAGCUAUUUCGACAUUGUGUUUUCUUUCAUUUGUAUCAUAUUAAGUCAUUUGUAUCAUAUUAAGGCAUUCAGAAAACUCUAGUACCCCCAUUUCGUUAGAUAUGAUUUUCAUCUUUAGGAGGCCAUAAUCCUCAUUGUUUCUACCAAUUUGAAUAAGCUAUUGCUUGCUUACAGUAA